rnacentral:lncRNA from 1 species
GACUAUAAACAGAUCUUUAUUUUCAGUUUUCAGACUGCAAGUGUGUUUGCCAAGAACACUGCAAAUUCAGCAGAACAUACAUCUGAAGAAAGUGUUUCUUCAGUGGAGGUUCUGCAGAAUAGGAACUGACUGUGGUCUGUGGAGCUGUCAUAGGCUGGAAAUCAACUGCAAUGCAGGAGGCAGCCAGAAGGAGCUGGUGAAAAUGUUAUUGCCAAGUCCACCUUGGAGAAGGUGGAAAAGCUCAAGAGACAAAGAUGCAGAAUAAAAGGCAGAUUUAAAGGAUGAAUGUGUUUCUCUCUUUGCGCAAGAUCCAACCAGCUUCUUCCAAGAGAAAACUGACAACAUGUUAAGUAACUUUCCUCUUUUUGCUUGCCCUCCCACUCCUUGCUACAGAUGCUAAUAUGGUAUCCUAAUCCAAUUUCAUGCCCCACUGAUCUAAAUCCUCCACCUGAUCUCUCUUAUCUUUUCUAAACCUUUCUCUUUCCCUUGUUUCCCCCUUUUCCCAUUAAGCAUGCAUAAAAGCACUAUAAUCUCUUUGAUGUUUUUAUACUUAAAAACUACCUCAGUUCAGUAGUUCCAGUUACCAGCUCUUCUUCUUUUCUAAACUCAUUAAAAAUAUUGUAUAAAGUGCUCACCAUAAAUUUCAUGCUAAAUCCUUCAGAUCCACUGAUGUCUCUUAACUCCACCAAAGCCACUCUUACCUAGUACCAGGAUUCUAAAUAAAUGCCAGACCAGAACUCCUUCA